AUGAGAAGGAACAUUAAAGCUGCUAAUGUGCUCAGCUAUUUCCUUGCUGAACACCAUCAGGAAGCCAAUAAUAAUAAAAUAAACCUGAAAAGCCAUUCAUGCAUCCGGAAGUCCCUCACUUAUUUUGUUCCGGAAAAUGCAAAAUGCUACUGUGCAGUGCUUUCCAUCCUGCUUUAUGUCUGUCUUGACAAGGCCAGAAGACCACACCUAUGUUUGAUACACAUUCUACCCAAAAUGUCAAGAUAUGCAUGCUGCUCACAAGUGAGAAGCCCCUUAGUCCCCUGGGGUAAAGAAUGUACUCACCGUGUUGGAAAAUUCUUCCUUUCAUGGGGCGCCAAGACCGGCAGAAGGAAAUGUCUACCAGGAAAGGAGUAUCCAAGUGAUGUCCCAGCAUCUGGUCUAGUGGGUCCCACCAACUCUGUGGUCAACCUGAAUUAG
rnacentral:lncRNA from 1 species